GGCUAGGUAGCUCAGUUGGUAGAGCAGGUGACUGAAAAUCACCGUGUCGGCGGUUCGAUUCCGUCCCUGGCCACCA
rnacentral:tRNA from 2 species